GAGGGGUGAGGAAAGGGCGGGUAGGUUGGUUGAUUGAAGAAGAGAGUCUACGAAGAAGCGUCGUAGCCAUGGCCAUUUGUGUGUCCUUGCUACUGGCCUCGUUUCCGGAGCUGUGUUUUUGGGAGAGAGGUGUGGGGAAGGAAUGCAGCAGCGCCAAGUGAAGGAGAUAGAGUGAAGCUGUUGUAUGGGUGGCGGAAGAUAAUUUGAAAUCAGGAUAGAAUAAUUCCAA
rnacentral:lncRNA from 1 species